AGGAGAGGUGGCAGGGCUUAGGUAAAUGACAGGUCACCCAUUUAUUGGUAAGUUUUUCCAGAUGUCAGUUCCAGAGCCCACGAAAUCAGUUCUUAUUGGGGCUAAGGUUUCCCGCCGGCAGGAGUGAGCAUUGGUGCUGGCGGGAGUUUUUGGCGCAGGCGGGAAAAGGAGAGGCAGGAAGAGAAGCUCCUCAGGCGCCAUGUUGGGGUUUUUUGGGGUGUGGCUGCCAUUAUACCUUUUCCCAACAUUCCUCCCUUUUUGUUUUCUUAGGAACUGGGGCGUCGUUGGUCAGAUCUGGCUGCUUCCUGCUGUGUGGGGGUGGCAUGGGACCUAGAAGGGGGACGUGGAUGAAUGUUCGGGGAGGCAGGUCCGGGGAUACCAUGGUAACCAGAAAUAUAACCCAGUGGCUAUAGACAGCUACUUUGGUAGGGGUGAAUUCUAUAAAAGUUCCCUGAAGCCACAAUUCGUUGAUGGCAUCAAACCAGUCCUGGAUGGAGGAGAUUGUUGGCAUCAGCCACUGGUCCUUUAACAGAGACUCUAGGAAAUAUUGGAAGCUUUGCCUCGACAUGGCAUCACCAGCACCUGAAGAAGAUCAGAGCGAACAAAAACAGGAUGAAGAUAAAAAUUAAAGCAAAGGUCAGUUACUGGCAGAAGUUCCAUCUUGGGGGUCUGACAGAGAAGAGUCCAAGGGCCAUGAGGAGGCAUAUAAGGACAUAAAGACUCAAGAAUCCAGGGUGGCAGACUAAGAGGUUCUCCGGGUUUCUUGCCUCCCGCUGUCCAAUGUCCGUUGCAUUCCAUCAUGCCUGGUAGUAAUCUUCAGUACUGGGUGAGCUGUUCUCUUGAAGAUGUUGGGGGUUCAUCGGUCAUCAGAGGCCGGUAGUGCCUAAGCAGAAACUGGUUGAAAGUUUGAUUGGAUAUUUUGUUAAUUUGUCCUUGAAGGAAUUUUAAAAUGCAAGGAAGGAAGGCACGGAGCAAAAAGACCCCAACCAGACGUCCCAGUAUUGGUCCAGUGGCUGAUGGGGUUUGUGAAGAGGUCCCAAAAGGAUUUUUGCACCGAUUGCUGCUUUCUUUUUUCUAGUUUUUCUUGUAACUGUUUAAUUUUGUCUUUCACUAUGCCUGACUGAUUAACAUAAAAACAACAUUCUUCCUGUAAGAACAGGCAGAGGCCUCCUUUCUCUAAGUAUAUCUAAGCCUCAGUGGUUUUGUAAGACCACUGUCACUAGGGAAUCUAAUUGAUUUUGGAGGAUAAGUAUGGACUCAGUCACCUGUUGGAGGCCAUCUACGAAUGAUUUGGACAAUUGAUCAUAGUAUGUGAGGGAGGUAGCCAAACCUGCUGUACCUGUCGCCAAACCUGCUGUAAUUCCUAAAGUAGCAAGGAGAGGUAUGAAUUGGAUCGCCCGUUUGGGUCUUAUGUGUGUCAUGAGGGGGAUUGGUAUUUCUGUAUCUCCUGGAACUAUGUCUACAUAGGGAAACAAUAGAACAAGAGUACAUGUGCCUGCCCAGUCAGGGGACAGACAGUGGUAUACAGUCAUCCCACAUAAGAGUGAUGCUUCAGAGACUGGUGGGCAGUGGGCCUUACUACCUUUUGGUAGAGAGGUUUUUUUGUUGACAUUGCUUCUCUGAUAAGUCUCCUACUGGUAUGUUUCCUGAUGACUGAAAACAUAAUGGAGCAGCCUAGUAGAGAGGGACACCUGAGAGUUUGGCUGUGGUGUCUAGGGUUGAAGAUGUCUCCUUGAGCACAGCCUGAGAACUAUUUAUUGGGUAUGCUAUUAUUUUGGGGGAUUCAGUUCCAGCCUGCAAACAUAGCCAACAUUCCUGUACAUAGUUUAUAGUUUUAGUAACCUUUAACAGGUUGAGAGAGAUAUUGACAAGUUUAAGAGAGAGAGAAGGUUCUUUGACUGUUUUCGCCCUAACCAAAUCAGGCAGCCAAUUGGGUAUAUCAAUCGUCCUCUUCCA
rnacentral:lncRNA from 1 species